GGGACCAUGGCGCAGCUGGUUAGCGCGCAGGUCUCAUAUUACCCACAUAUGAUCUGGUUAAACAUCAGAGUUAUCCUGAGGUCGUGAGUUCGAUCCUCACUGGUCCCA